UUAAAAACACAUUACAAAAAAUUACAAAUUUUUAUAAUUAUUAAAAUUUAAAAAAUAAAAUAACUCAAUAUGUAAUUAUUUGAUAGUUUAAGCAAAAUGAUUUAAAAGAUAAAAAGAAACCCACAUAAUUUUCAGGGUCAACCCCUAAUUGCAUGAAAAUUUGGAUGUAGGUUCUACUCAUCCUCCACUUCAAAGUUGAACUUGUGCCGUUGAUCGCUUUUACUUGGAGGGUGAAAAAACAUACGCUUAAAAUAAGUCCGGAAACAGAUAAACUGACUAAUUUUAAACAACUUUUGUUCUAUAGAGUUUUUUAACUUAGGUACUAGGUUAAUUCAGUAGUACUAGAGUCACUUGCGACUAAAAAUGUUUACUUUUCAACAAAAAGAAACGUUUUUAGGCGGUUUUUCGCAAACACUCAAAAAGUAAUUAUUUUAUCGAAAAAAAUAUUCUUGCAAAAAAUGUAGCAUAUAAAAAAACGAAAAAAUGGUAUAUUCUUAGUUUAUAGAACCAGUAAAAGUAAAUUUGUAGCUCAUAAAAAAGACGCUCUUAUCCUUCAAAUUCCAAAUCAAAUAUUUUAACGUGAUAUUACCAAAAAAUGAAGCUCUUUUAGGGGAAAACCCAUUAAAAUUUUUUAAAGUGUUUAAAAAAAAGCUUUAUUAUGUUUUAUAAAAGUUAUAUACGGGUAUAAUAGGAAAAACAACGGAACGAAUUUUCGAACGUUUAAACAGACGACACCCCAGAUUUACCAAUUUCUGGACAAUUCAUCCAAAGGCUGGAUUCUAACAACGAAACAGUUGUGGAUUUUCAAGUUUUCAAUGAAAGUCAGAAU
rnacentral:lncRNA from 1 species